rnacentral:rRNA from 1 species
UACGUAGGGCGCGAGCGUUUGUCCGGAUUUAUUGGGCGUAAAGAGCUUGUAGGCGGUUUGUCGCGUCUGCUGUGAAAUCUCAAGGCUCAACCUUGAGCUUGCAGUGGGUACGGGCAGACUAGAGUGUGGUAGGGGAGACUGGAAUUCCUGGUGUAGCAGUGAAAUGCGUAGAUAUGUGGAGGAACACCGAUGGCGAAGGCAGCCCCCCUGGGAUAACACUGACGCUCAUGCACGAAAGCGUGGGGAGCAAACAGG